AAUCAACGCUGGCGGCGUGCCUAACACAUGCAAGUCGAACGCGAAAGGGGGCUUCGGCUCCUAAGUAGAGUGGCGUCCGGGUGAGUAACACGUAGGUAAUCUGCCUUCGGGUGGGGAAUAACCAGUCGAAAGAUUGGCUAAUACCGCAUAAUGCAGCGGCACCUAAUGGUGAUUAGUUGUUAAAGCGGGGGAUCGUAAGACCUCGCGCCUGAAGAGGAGCCUGCGGCAGAUUAGCUAGUUGGUGAGGUAAUGGCUCACCAAGGCUUCGAUCUGUAGCUGGUCUGAGAGGACGGCCAGCCACACUGGCACUGACACACGGGCCAGACUCCUACGGGAGGCAGCAGUGGGGAAUUUUGGGCAAUGGGCGAAAGCCUGACCCAGCAACGCCGCGUGAGGGAGGAAAUCCUUCGGGAUGUAAACCUCACAAGCAAGGGAAGAGAGCUCGAGGGCCGAAUAAGCUUUGAGUCCGACGGUACCUUGCGUAAGCCACGGCUAACUACGU
rnacentral:rRNA from 1 species